rnacentral:rRNA from 1 species
UGGGGCGCAGCAGGCGCGAAAACUCUGCAAUAAGCGAAAGCUUGACAGGGUUAUUCUGAGUGAUUUCCGCUAAGGAAAUCUUUUGGCACCUCUAAAAAUGGUGCAGAAUAAGGGGUGGGCAAGCCUGGUGUCAGCCGCCGCGGUAAUACCAGCACCCCGAGUGGUCGGGACGAUUAUUGGGCCUAAAGCAUCCGUAGCCGGUUCUACAAGUCUUCCGUUAAAUCCACCUGCUCAACAGUUGGGCUGCGGAGGAUACUAUAGAGCUAGGAGGCGGGAGAGGCAAGCGGUACUCAGUGGGUAGGGGUAAAAUCCGUUGAUCCAUUGAAGACCACCAGUGGCGAAGGCGGCUUGCCAGAACGCACUCGACGGUGAGGGAUGAAAGCUGGGGGAGCAAACCGGAUUAGAUACCCGGGUAGUCCCAGCUGUAAACGAUGCAGACUCGGUGAUGAAUAGGCUUCGUGCCUAUUCAGUGCCGCAGGGAAGCCGUUAAGUCUGCCGCCUGGGGAGUACGGUCGCAAGACUGAAACUUAAAGAAAUUGGCGGGGGAGCAC